GCUGGGUGUAGUGGUGUACACCUGUCAUCCCAGCAGCUUGGGAAGCUGAGGCAGGAGGAUGGGGAGUUCAAAGCCAGCCUCAGCAACUUAGCAAGGCCCUAAGAAACUCAGUAAGACCCUGUCUCUA
rnacentral:sRNA from 1 species